rnacentral:rRNA from 1 species
UACGGAGGGUGCAAGCGUUGUCCGGAAUCACUGGGCGUAAAGGGUGCGUAGGUGGCGGGGUAAGUCUGGUGUGAAAUCUCGGGGCUCAACCCCGAAACUGCACUGGAUACUGCCUUGCUCGAGUACUGGAGAGGAGAUUGGAAUUUACGGUGUAGCAGUGAAAUGCGUAGAUAUCGUAAGGAAGACCAGUGGCGAAGGCGAAUCUCUGGACAGUUACUGACACUGAGGCACGAAGGCCAGGGGAGCAAACGGG